GUAGGGUGCAAGCGUUGCCCGGAUUUAUUGGGCGUAAAGGGCGCGCAGGCGGCUACGCACGUUCGUUGUGAAAUCGCCCGGCUCAACUGGGCGGGGUCAGCGAAUACGGCGUGGCUGGAGCAAGCUAGGGGGCAAUGGAAUUCCCGGUGUAGUGGUGGAAUGCGUAGAUAUCGGGAGGAACACCAGUGGCGAAGGCGGUUGCCUGGAGCUUUGCUGACGCUGAGGCGCGAAAGCGUGGGGAGCGAUCCGGAUUAGAUACCCGGGUAGUCCACGCCGUAAACGAUGCGGACUAGGUGUCGGGGGUAUCGACCCCCUCGGCGCCGCAGCUAACGCAUUAAGUCCGCCGCCUGGGGACUACGGCCGCAAGGCUAAA
rnacentral:rRNA from 1 species